rnacentral:rRNA from 1 species
CGAAAGCCUGACGGAGCAAGACCGCGUGAGGGAGGAAGGCUCUUGGGUUGUAAACCUCUUUUCUCAGGGAAGAAGCUCUGACGGUACCUGAGGAAUCAGCCUCGGCUAACUCCGUGCCAGCAGCCGCGGUAAUACGGAGGAGGCAAGCGUUAUCCGGAAUUAUUGGGCGUAAAGCGUCCGCAGGUGGCUAGUCAAGUCUGCUGUCAAAGACCAGGGCUUAACCCUGGGCCGGCAGUGGAAACUGGUUAGCUGGAGUACGGUAGGGGUAGAGGGAAUUCCUGGUGUAGCGGUGAAAUGCGUAGAUAUCAGGAAGAACACCGGUGGCGAAAGCGCUCUACUGGGCCGUGACUGACACUGAGGGACGAAAGCUAGGGGAGCG